UACAGAGGUCUCAAGCGUUGUUCGGAUUCAUUGGGCGUAAAGGGUGCGUAGGCGGCGCGGUAAGUCGGGUGUGAAAUCUCGGAGCUUAACUUGGGAACUGCCGUUGAUACUAUCAGUCUUGAAUACCGUGGAGGUGAGCGGAAUAUGUCAUGUAGCGGUGAAAUGCUUAGAUAUGACAUAGAACACCAAUUGCGAAGGCAGCUCGCUACACGAAUAUUGACUCUGAGGCACGAAAGCGUGGGGAUCAAACAGG
rnacentral:rRNA from 1 species